rnacentral:lncRNA from 1 species
GUUGAUUGCAAUAUAGUCUCAAGCUACUGUCUAUUUCUUGGGAGGCUUACAGGCCUGGUUCUCUUCUUCCAAUUAGUUUCCAGGCACAAUUUCGGUGUCUCAUCUCCUGCACUGACUACUAGGACCCAGUCCCUCUCUGACUGCCUGUUAACGUCUACCUAAUUUAAAGGUCUAUCAUACUAAUUUUGCCUGUCCUGUGGUUAUGUAAGAAAAUAGUCCUGUCUUCAGAAUAUCACACUGAAGUACUGAAGUAAAGGGGUAAGUCUGCGACUAGGCUGCCAUGGGUUCAAGGAAAAAAAAAAAAGAUUAUGAAUAAAGUACAGAUGCUAAGGCAAGUGUAAACAAUUGGUAAAUGAGUAAGAAUAACAGGAGAGUUCCACCGUUGCAAUUUUCUGUAAUUUGAAAUUACAUCAAGAUAAAGUGACCACCAACCAGCCCUCGGCCCCUACCACAAUCUCUCGCAAACAUUUGGAGAUCUCGCAACAGCGGUGGGAGGAGAAGGCUGCCAAGAGAGCGUAUGGAGUCACGUGAGGAGGGUCACAUGACCGGAGGCCCAAAUCCAACAUGGUGGCCCCCACGGGGCUUGGACUUCUAUUCCUACUUUCGCUGCUGGGCUUCCUCGGGGAAGCGUCCGGUGUCAUCGGGGAGGGGGCCUCCCGCGACGAUGAUCUGCUCCUGCCCU